rnacentral:rRNA from 1 species
GGCCUACCAUGGUUUUAACGGGUAACGGGGAAUUAGGGUUCGAUUCCGGAGAGGGAGCCUGAGAAACGGCUACCACAUCCAAGGAGGGCAGCAGGCGCGCAAAUUACCCAAUCCCGACACGGGGAGGUAGUGACAAUAAAUAACAAUACAGGGCUUUCUAGUCUUGUAAUUGGAAUGAGUACAAUUUAAAUCCCUUAACGAGGAACAAUUGGAGGGCAAGUCUGGUGCCAGCAGCCGCGGUAAUUCCAGCUCCAAUAGCGUAUAUUAAAGUUGUUGCAGUUAAAAAGCUCGUAGUUGAACUUCGGGAUCAAUGAGUUGGUCGUGCCCUUGGUAUGAACUGGCUUUAUUGGUUCUCACCUUCUAAUGAACCAUAAUGUCAUUCAUUUGAUGUUUUGGGGAAUUAGGACUGUUACCUUGAAAAAAUUAGAGUGUUUAAAGCAGGCUCACGCUUGAAUACAUUAGCAUGGAAUAAUGAAAUAGGACAUCGCAUUCUAUUUUGUUGGUUUCUAGGAUCGAUGUAAUGAUUAAUAGGGAUAGUUGGGGGCAUUAGUAUUCAAUUGUCAGAGGUGAAAUUCUUGGAUUUAUUGAAGACUAACUACUGCGAAAGCAUUUGCCAAGGAUGUUUUCAUUAAUCAAGAACGAAAGUUAGGGGAUCGAAGACGAUCAGAUACCGUCGUAGUCUUAACCAUAAACUAUGCCGACUAGGGAUCGGAUGAUGUUGAUUUUUUAAUGACUCAUUCGGCACCUUACG